AGUUCUCUAAGAUAUUCUCUGUAUAAUAUUAUUCCGAUUACGUAAUUAAUUAUUUAUACGUAUUUACUAAUUAUAUGCAAUUAAUGCAAUCUUAAGUCUUAAGUCUAAGACAACUUGACUACAUGGCCAGGUUGUGGAAGAAAUUCAGUGUCACACAGUGGAAUGAUAUAAAUAAGCAUUAGGGAUGACAAAUAAACAUUGGAACAAUGAUCUUGUAAUCUUUAAUGUGAAGUAGCAAUGUAAGAAAUGUAACGUAUCAAAUUAGUGGUUAAUGUAAAGUGGCUAAUGUAGAGUAUACUUUGCCACAUAAAAGAAACAAAUGUAAUAUUUUAUGCGAUAUGGAGACAAAACUCUAUAACUUGGUCAGAUCAGAUCAAACGAAGCAGCCAUACAAGAACCUUUUUGGAUUGCCUACCUAUUUCAUUAUUUGUUUUCUUCUAGACUAUAAAUAUAGGAUUAAAAUAUAUCAUCCUGGGAGUUUCAAAAAUCUGCUAGAUCAAAAUAUAUUAGCAUGCUAUAUUGCAGUGCAUAUUAGAAAAUACUUUUUGGUUACAAUAGAGUUCACAAAACUGUUACAGCAAGAAUAAUAGCUUUAUAUUUGAACUAUUCAUUGGACUCAACUUUUGAACCUUGUGGAUCAUGUGGAAACUGUCUAGCAAUAAAAAAUUCAAGUCACCCAAAUGUGACUGAAGCUGAUGCAACAAGUCACACUAGCAUUGAGGAUAUUAAAAUGAAGUACACUUGUUAUCGUUCUUAAAGAGGAUAAGAUGAUCACUUACCAUUAGCAUCGAUUAUUAUCGAUUGAGCACAAAAGAAUUUUUGGAGAACGGUAUUAUAGGCAAAAGCGUUUUACCAUACCCGAGUCCGAUAAUUCAUGUCAAAAAGAAAAAUGUUUAAAAUAGGAUGAUUAAAAAAAGAUUUCUUAUAUCAUUUCAUAUUUUUUCUUCAUGCUUCCAUCAAUCAAUUCAAAUAAUCGAUUAUAAUCCAUAACAUAAUUUGGUUUCCUAAUCAUUUCUUUUGUGCGAUAAUGAAUUUUCAUGUCAACGAAUUCUUGAGUGUGAAAAGUAGACAACAUUAUACACUUUCUUUUUGUUACACCAUUUCAUAGCUAACAAAUCAUUUGAGGAACGAAAACUCGCUUCAACCGUUUUUAAUUUAUUAUCGAUAAUUUGCAUGCCUUUCUUUGUAUCCUCAAACGUCCGAAAAUAAAAAUUUUUAUUUUUUUGCAAUUGAAAUGUAUUAAAUAAAGGCAAUUUAGAGCAAUAAAGGCAAUAGAGCUUGCUGGUUAUUUUCGUAAAUUUGUACCUGUAUUACCAAGCUUACAGAAAACAAUGAACCGUGAGCCUGGGGCACCGAACAGAGGAAACACGGUAAUAUGUAAAAUUGCUAUUAUAAUAACCGUUACUUGUGAUAUUCGAUCCUGCUAAAGAAACAAAAUUACAUGGAAAAACGAGCUCGAUAGGCUACAGGGUUAUUCUAUUUCAAAAGAUGAACGGAAAGCAGCGAGCAUUUGCAUAUUCAAUCGGGGACAACGACGGAGGAGUCCAAGUACCAAUCGUAUAAGCUCGAAAUAAUACCGAUACUUGAUCGAUAUUGACGCUCAAGGCAUACUGGAUCUUUAAUUAUGUUUUUUAUGUUUACAAAUAUAUUUUUAUUUUAUGAA
rnacentral:lncRNA from 11 species